AGAAUCAACGCUGGCGGCGUGCCUAACACAUGCAAGUCGAACGCGAAAGGGGCGCAAGCCCUGAGUAGAGUGGCAAACGGGUGAGUAACACGUGGGUGACCUGCCUUCGAGUGGGGGAUAACGUUCCGAAAGGAACGCUAAUACCGCAUGACAUCCUGCGUUUGGAAACGCGGACAUCAAAGCUGGGGAUCGCAAGACCUGGCGCUCGGAGAGGGGCCCGCGGCUGAUUAGCUAGUUGGUGGGGUAACGGCUCACCAAGGCAACGAUCAGUA
rnacentral:rRNA from 1 species